rnacentral:rRNA from 1 species
UACGUAGGGGGCAAGCGUUGUCCGGAUUUAUUGGGCGUAAAGAGCUCGUAGGUGGUUCGGUAAGUCGGAUGUGAAAUCUCCAGGCUCAACCUGGAGGGGUCAUUCGAUACUGCCGUGACUAGAGGUCGGUAGGGGAGUGUGGAAUUCCUGGUGGAGCGGUGAAAUGCGCAGAUAUCAGGAGGAACACCGAUUGCGAAGCAGCUCGCUGGAACGUUACUGACGCUGGAGACGCGAAAGCGUGGGGAGCAAACAGG